rnacentral:rRNA from 1 species
UACGGAAGGCAGCAGUGGGGAAUAUUGCACAAUGGGCGAAAGCCUGAUGCAGCUAUGCCGCGUGUAUGAAGAAGGCCUUAGGGUUGUAAAGUACUUUCAUCGGGGAGGAAAAACAAAACUAAUAAUUUUAUUUCUUGACGUUACCCGAAAAAGAAGCACCGGCUAACUCCGUGCCAGCAGCCGCGGUAAUACGGAGGGUGCUAGCGUUAAUCAGAAUUACUGGGCGUAAAGAGCACGUAGGUGGUUUUUUUAAGUCAGAUGUGAAAUCCCUGGGCUUAACCUGGAACUGCAUUUUGAAACUGAAAUACUAGAGUAUCGUAGAGGGAGGUAGAAUUCUAGGUGUAGCGGUGAAAUGCGUAGAUAUCUGGAGGAAUACCUGUGGCGAAAGCGACCUCCUAAACGAAUACUGACACUGAGGUGCGAAAGCGUGGGGAGCAAACAGGGAUUAGAUACC